GUAACUAACUGUGUUAAUGAGUGAGUGAUGGUGGUAGUGAGUGAAUGAUUGUGUAAAUGAUGGUGUUAAUGAUUGUGUUAAUGAGUGAAUGAUUGUGUAAAUGAUGGUGUUAAAGAUGGAGUUAAUGACGGUGCAAAUGAGUGAGUGAUGGUGUUAAUGGUUAUGUAAAUGAUGGUGUUAAUUAUGGUGUUGAUGAGUGAGUGGAUGAUGUAAAAUGAUGGUGUAAAUGAUGGUGUUAAUAAAUAAAUAAUGGUGUAGAUGAUAAUGAUGGUGGUAAUGAUGGUGUAAAUGAGUAAAUGAUGGUGUGAGGUGAUGGUGUUAAUGAUGGUGUUAUUGAUGGUGGUAAUGAGUGAGUGAUGGUGGUAAUGAUGGUGGUAGUGAUGGUGUGGGUGAUGGGGGUUAAUGAUGGUGGUAGUGAUGGUGUUAAUGAGUGAGUGAUGGUGUGGGUGAUGGUGUUAAUGAUGUGGUAGUGAUGGUGUUAAUGAGUGAGUGAUGGUGUAAAUGAUGGUGGUAAUGAUGGUGGUAGUGAUGGUGGUAAUGAUGGUGGUAGUGAUGGUGGUAGUGAUGGUGUAAAUGAUGGUGGUAAUGAUGGUGUGGGUGAUGGUGGUUAAUGAUGGUGGUAGUGAUGGUGGUAGUGAUGGUGGUAAUGAUGGUGGUAGUGAUGGUGGUAGUGAUGGUGUAAAUGAUGGUGGUAAUGAUGGUGGUAGUGAUGGUGGUAAUGAUGGUGGUAGUGAUGGUGUUAAUGAUGGUGUGGGUGAUGGUGGUAAUGAUGGUGGUAGUGAUGGUGGUAAUGAUGGUGGUAGUGAUGGUGUUAAUGAUGGUGUGGGUGAUGGUGGUAGUGAUGGUGGUAGUGAUGGUGGUAGUGAUGGUGGUAGUGAUGGUGGUAAUGAUGGUGGUAGUGAUGGUGUUAAUGAUGGUGUGGGUGAUGGUGGUAGUGAUGGUGGUAAUGAUGGUGGUAGUGAUGGUGGUAAUGAUGGUGGUAGUGAUGGUGGUAAUGAGUGAAUGAUGAUGACGUUGGAUUCGAUCGUAUCGUUACAGUUCUAUAUUUGAACCCAUGUGUUAAAUGAUGUAGUGGCAGAAAUGAGCCCGGGUUAUUCCACGAUACCGAGCGUCUGAACGCAGCCUCGCUCACAGUCAACAUCGUCUCAUUAAUCCCUGAUCGAAUGGAACUUCAGCAUGAAAUCGAACUCGCCGUCUCACACACACACUUCUGACUCAUCUUCCGACUCCAGGAUUAAACUCAUGGGCGUGCGUUAUUUUAAAGCGGUUCUGAACACGACGGAAAGUUCCGUCUCUGGACUAACGAGCAUGCGCUGCUAAUCUCCAUUAACACGAGCGUGAAGCGCGCGAGACGCUAACUCUGUCCUGUGACACAGAGCCAUGCUGAGGACAGGAGAUGCAUUAUGGGAGGUAAGGUCAACACACACAAGGCACUAAUACUCGGAGCGAUGGGAAAAAUACGCGGUGCGGGUUUCAGGAGGCUGAAGUGCACUCGGUGAAAGCAGAUCAGCUAAUUAAGCGUCCUAGAUGCACUUAGCAACCCUGCGUGGGUCUGAUUGACUCGGAUGAAGCCGCUCUCACACGCUGCCUCUCAGGACAUUGCAGGUAAUUAC
ensembl:lncRNA